AGGGUUUGAUCAUGGCUCAGAACGAACGCUGGCGGCAUGCCUAACACAUGCAAGUCGAACGAGAAAGUUUCCUUCGGGGAACUAGUAAAGUGGCGCAAGGGUGAGUAACACGUGAAUAAUCUGCCUACGAAUUCGGGAUAACUCGGCGAAAGUUGUGCUAAUACCGGAUAAGACCACACUCCUAAUGGAGCGUGGCCAAAGGAGUCUCAAACUCCGUUUGUAGAUGAGUUCGCGGACCAUUAGCUUGUUGGCGGGAUAACAGCCCACCAAGGCGACGAUGGUUAGCCGGCCUGAGAGGGCGAUCGGCCACACUGGAACUGAGACACGGUCCAGACUCCUACGGGAGGCAGCAGUGGGGAAUAUUGCGCAAUGGGUGAAAGCCUGACGCAGCAAUGCCGCGUGAGGGAUGAAGGCUUUUGGGUCGUAAACCUCUGUCGGAUGGGAAGAAUAAUGACGGUACCAUCAGAGGAAGCCCCGGCUAACUCCGUGCCAGCAGCCGCGGUAAUACGGGGGGGGCAAGCGUUGUUCGGAAUUAUUGGGCGUAAAGAGUAUGUAGGCGGCUUAUUAAGUCAAGCGUGUAAGCCCACGGCUCAACCGUGGAAUUGCGUUUGAAACUAUUAGGCUUGAGUGCAGGAGAGGAAGGCGGAAUUCCCAGUGUAGCGGUGAAAUGCAUUGAUAUU
rnacentral:rRNA from 1 species